rnacentral:rRNA from 1 species
AUGCAAGUCGAACGGUUAAGACGCACUUCGGUGCGUGCAUAGAGUGGCGAACGGCUGAGUAACACGUGGGCAACCUGCCCCCCGCACCGGGAUAGCCUCGCGAAAGCGUGAUUAAUACCGGGUACUCCGGCACCUCCGCAUGGCGGUGCCGGGAGAGCGUUAGCGGCGGGGGAUGGGCCCGCGGCCUGUUAGCUAGUUGGCGGGGCAACGGCCCACCAAGGCGAUUAUGGGUAGCCGGGUUGAGAGACCGACCGGCCAGAUUGGGACUGAGACACGGCCCAGACUCC